rnacentral:misc_RNA from 1 species
CCGAGUUAUACAACUCCUCAACCCCUGUGAACAUACCCUAUACGUUGCCUCGGCGGGAAUCAGCCCGGCCCCGGUAAAACGGGACGCCCCGCCAGAGGACCCCCUAACUCUGUUUCUAUAAUGUACUUCUGAGUAAAAAGCCAUAAUAAAUCA